rnacentral:rRNA from 1 species
UAAGGAAUAUUGCUCAAUGGGAGAAAUCCUGAAGCAGCAACGCCGCGUGGAGGAUGAAGGGUCUAUGACUUGUAAACUCCUGUAAAGAAGGAAAAAAUUCCCAUUUGAUGGGAGGUGAUGGUACUUCUGGAGUAAGCCCCGGCUAACUACGUGCCAGCAGCCGCGGUAAUACGUAGGGGGCAAGCGUUGUCCGGAUUUACUGGGUGUAAAGGGUGCUCAGGCGGAUUUGUAAGUCAGAGGUGAAAUCUUACAGCUUAACUGUGAAACUGACUUUGAUACUGCAAGCCUAGAGGAUGGGAGAGAGUGAUGGAAUAUCUGGUGUAGCAGUGAAAUGCGUAGAUAUCAGAUAGAACACCAAUGGCGAAGGCAGUCACUUGGUCCAUUACUGACGCUAAAGCACGAAAGCGUGGGUAGCAAACA